UUUGAUCCUGGCUCAGGACGAACGCUGGCGGCGUGCCUAAUACAUGCAAGUCGAGCGGACAGAUGGGAGCUUGCUCCCUGAUGUUAGCGGCGGACGGGUGAGUAACACGUGGGUAACCUGCCUGUAAGACUGGGAUAACUCCGGGAAACCGGGGCUAAUACCGGAUGGUUGUUUGAACCGCAUGGUUCAAACAUAAAAGGUGGCUUCGGCUACCACUUACAGAUGGACCCGCGGCGCAUUAGCUAGUUGGUGAGGUAACGGCUCACCAAGGCAACGAUGCGUAGCCGACCUGAGAGGGUGAUCGGCCACACUGGGACUGAGACACGGCCCAGACUCCUACGGGAGGCAGCAGUAGGGAAUCUUCCGCAAUGGACGAAAGUCUGACGGAGCAACGCCGCGUGAGUGAUGAAGGUUUUCGGAUCGUAAAGCUCUGUUGUUAGGGAAGAACAAGUACCGUUCGAAUAGGGCGGUACCUUGACGGUACCUAACCAGAAAGCCACGGCUAACUACGU
rnacentral:rRNA from 1 species